CUCUCCCAAGUGUUUAGUGACAUGUCACAAUAGUUCUUUCUAUUCUGUUCCCAUAGUUUAAGAACUAUUGGGUCUCAGUGUUCCUUUACACUGUUAAAAAUUGAGGACCCCAAAGAACUUUUGUAUGUGUGUAUUGUGUGUGUGUGUAUGUGUGUGUGCAUGUUGGUUUUUUAUAGUGUUUGAAAAUAAAACUGAGAAAAUUUUAUAAUACAGUACCCACCCAGUGCAUCAUGGGCAAGGGUACCUCCCAGGGGUAGGUAGCCCUAGAGGACACCCUCACAGUGCAGGAGGGAGGGAGAGGGAAAAUGGCAAAGGCUGUUUGGAGAUUGAUGGGAAUGUGGCUUUGACCUGGAGCGACCUUAAACACUUACUUUCUGGGGACUCUGAGGGUCCGUGGGCCACACUUUCAGAACCACGGGUCUGUUCCUUCACCCCCGUCCCACAAGCCUGUGUCUGGCCUCUGCCCUGUCCUGUUGCUGCCCCUGCUGUUGCUGCCCCUUGUUUUACUGAUUGGAAGUCUUCUCCUGCCUGCUGUUGGGGUCACCCAGCAGAUGCAGAAAGCUGAACCUGGAUAUCUACAAGUGUUGAGGCCAGCUCUGCCCAGAGGACCGCGGAGCCCCUGCCCCCGUCUGCUCUGCCGUCAGAGCCCUUCUUAUUAUUUCUGAGAAGACAUAAAGACAGGUGACGAUUCUUUUUCAGAACUUCUCACCUGUUUUUGUACCUUUUAUCACCUAGAUGAAGUUUACAGUCUGUUAGUCAAAUUCCAUCUUUCAAAACACCAGUUGGGAUUUUGACUGGGAUCCUAGUGACUUCUAACAUUAAUUCUGGUGACUUCUUAUAUUGUGAUCUGGCACAUCCUCACGCCUUCAUUGCCCCAUGUCCAAGCACGCGGGUGAAGAGGAUGUGAGAGAAAGGAUGUGGUCAAAUGCCC
rnacentral:lncRNA from 1 species